GAGUUUGAUCCUGGCUCAGGAUGAACGCUGGCGGCGUGCUUAACACAUGCAAGUCGAACGAACCUUCGGGUUAGUGGCGGACGGGUGAGUAACGCGUGAGAAUCUGCCCUCAGGAGGGGGACAACAGCUGGAAACGGCUGCUAAUACCCCAUAUGCCGAGAGGUGAAACGAAUUUCGCCUGAGGAUGAGCUCGCGUCUGAUUAGCUAGUUGGUGUGGUAAUGGCGCACCAAGGCAUCGAUCAGUAGCUGGUCUGAGAGGAUGAUCAGCCACACUGGGACUGAGACACGGCCCAGACUCCUACGGGAGGCAGCAGUGGGGAAUUUUCCGCAAUGGGCGAAAGCCUGACGGAGCAACGCCGCGUGAGGGAUGAAGGCCUCUGGGCUGUAAACCUCUUUUCUCAAGGAAGAAGAUCUGACGGUACUUGAGGAAUAAGCCACGGCUAAUUCCGUGCCAGCAGCCGCGGUAAUACGGGAGUGGCAAGCGUUAUCCGGAAUUAUUGGGCGUAAAGCGUCCGCAGGCGGUCCAGAAAGUCUGCUGUUAAAAAGUGGAGCUUAACUCCAUCAUGGCAGUGGAAACUACUGGACUAGAGUGUGGUAGGGGCAGAGGGAAUUCCCGGUGUAGCGGUGAAAUGCGUAGAUAUCGGGAAGAACACCAGUGGCGAAGGCGCUCUGCUGGGCCAUAACUGACGCUCAUGGACGAAAGCCAGGGGAGCGAAAGGGAUUAGAUACCCCUGUAGUCCUGGCCGUAAACGAUGAACACUAGGUGUCGGGGGAAUCGACCCCCUCGGUGUCGUAGCCAACGCGUUAAGUGUUCCGCCUGGGGAGUACGCACGCAAGUGUGAAACUCAAAGGAAUUGACGGGGGCCCGCACAAGCGGUGGAGUAUGUGGGUUUAAUUCGAUGCAACGCGAAGAACCUUACCAGGUUUGACAUCCUGCGAAUCUCCUGGA
rnacentral:rRNA from 1 species